rnacentral:lncRNA from 1 species
AAAAAUGCGCAGUAAUUAUGGAAUUUGAGCUUUUCAAGUGCAAUAAACUCCGCUUGAUGAGGUAACGUGUGUAAUGAGUACAUCAUGUCCAUGUUUUCAUUCGCUCAGCCUUGCGUUUUGAUCCAUCCACUCAAAACGCGCCGUUUAUGAACUUCCUCAACUUGUCCAAGGUCACUAACUCGCAGACGGGUUGACUGGCGAUGCCCAUUUUUUGAAUACAUACUUUCGUCCAUACUCAGCGCAGCUCCCGAGGCUGCUACGUGAGCCUUCAGUUCUGUAUUACUACUUAGUUUUAGUUUAAAAUGUAAGUAAACACGCAUUUCAUUCUCGCCAUUGGCUUUCCAGUUCAUUCAGAAGCUUUUUCCAGCUGCUAUCAAGUACUUACUAACCCUCUCCACAAUACUUUGUUGAGCUAGGAGCUUUUAUGGAGUGAUUACCUGUGUACGUGUGUGUGUUUAUAUUGAGUAGGCGGUGUUUACACCUUCUUAGCCUCGUAAAAUUAGAUUGAAGUGUCCUUUAAGCUCGUUAUUUGUCAUCUGCUGUUAAUCUAUUGAGUUUUAUCAGUUUUAAACAGUUUGAUUUUGUUAAAAAUUCAGUGGAAUGUGAUUACCAGGGAAGUCAAUGAUCGUUUGCACUCAACCACUUGUUGAUCUGUUUUAGAAGAACUGUUAGAAUUUCAAGUUAGUGAGGAAGGAAUGCAGCACUCCUGGUCAUGAUUCUGCUUUUGAAUUUCUUGUCAAAGUAGUGGCUGUUUCAAACCAUCUGAAAGAUAUCUAAAUUUGGAUCGACCACAUCAUGAAGCUGGAGUGCGUGGCGCUGGAGGAGGGCGCGGGGGGUGCGGGGGAGUUGGUCCGCGCGUGCGCCCGCUGCCGCGCCGAGCUCGGGCGCAUCAUCAACCGCGGCGCCCUCUGCAAGAUGUGCAAGCUCCGCGUCUGCAAGUCCUGCCGCGAGUACUUCACCGCCGCCACCACUGCGCCCACCGAGUGGCUCUGCACGGCCUGCUACAAAACAAGUAAGUCCCAAUCGCUCCGCCAGGGGCGCCACAGCUUCACGUCUUUUGCCUCCUGGAGGGGCGGCACACAGCGGAUCCAGUCAGUAGGAGGAGUCGGACAAAAUUUGAAAACUUCAAAAGCUUAUAACUCCGUUUAUAUAAAACUUUGAGGUUCUCAAAGUGGUUUCAUUGGUUUCCUCGUGAAAUUUGCCCUAGGAGCAUCCCUGAAAGAUGAAAAUAUGUCGAAAUAAGUAUCAAAAUUUGCAGUUCUAGUUAAGAAUUUCAUGUCCGACCUCUCUAAUUGACUCGAUCCACUGUGCGGCAGGGUGUUUCGUAGUUCGAGACUUUGGUGCCCUUGUAAGAGUUCGGAAUUUUUUACGUAAUUUGUAAGAAUGAUACGCAAAAUAGCCCGAAUAAUUUAAUCGAACUAAACAAAAAAAAAAAAAAAAAAAAAAAUGGGGAACCAAGGCUGAAAACAAUUGCCUAGUAGUUAGCUCAGUAGUAGCCAAUAGUUUUUAGCCUUAGUUUCCCAUUUGUUUUGUUUUGGUUCCGUCACUUGUAAUUCGACAGUA